rnacentral:rRNA from 1 species
GAUGAACGCUGGCGGCGUGCCUAAUACAUGCAAGUCGAGCGAACAGACGAGGAGCUUGCUCCUUUGACGUUAGCGGCGGACGGGUGAGUAACACGUGGGUAACCUACCUAUAAGACUGGGAUAACUUCGGGAAACCGGAGCUAAUACCGGAUAAUAUUUUGAACCGCAUGGUUCGAUAGUGAAAGAUGGCUCUGCUAUCACUUAUAGAUGGACCUGCGCCGUAUUAGCUAGUUGGUAAGGUAACGGCUUACCAAGGCAACGAUACGUAGCCGACCUGAGAGGGUGAUCGGCCACACUGGAACUGAGACACGGUCCAGACUCCUACGGGAGGCAGCAGUAGGGAAUCUUCCGCAAUGGGCGAAAGCCUGACGGAGCAACGCCGCGUGAGUGAUGAAGGUCUUCGGAUCGUAAAACUCUGUUAUUAGGGAAGAACAAACGUGUAAGUAACUGUGCACGUCUUGACGGUACCUAAUCAGAAAGCCACGGCUAACUACGUG